GUUGGAAACGACUGUUAAUACCGCAUAAUAUCUGUGGAUUAAAGGUGGCUUUCGGGCUGUCGCAGAUGGAUGAGCCUGCGUUGGAUUAGCUAGUUGGUGGGGUAAGGGCCCACCAAGGCUACGAUCCAUAGCUGAUUUGAGAGGAUGAUCAGCCACAUUGGGACUGAGACACGGCCCAAACUCCUACGGGAGGCAGCAGUGGGGAAUAUUGGACAAUGGGGGCAACCCUGAUCCAGCAAUGCCAUGUGUGUGAAGAAGGCCCUAGGGUUGUAAAGCACUUUAGUUGGGGAGGAAAGCCUCAAGGUUAAUAGCCUUGGGGAGGACGUUACCCAAAGAAUAAGCACCGGCUAACUCCGUGCCAGCAGCCGCGGUAAUACGGGGGGUGCAAGCGUUAAUCGGAAUUACUGGGCGUAAAGGGUCUGUAGGUGGUUUGUUAAGUCAGAUGUGAAAGCCCAGGGCUCAACCUUGGAACUGCAUUUGAUACUGGCAAACUAGAGUACGGUAGAGGAAUGGGGAAUUUCUGGUGUAGCGGUGAAAUGCGUAGAGAUCAGAAGGAACACCAAUGGCGAAGGCAACAUUCUGGACCGAUACUGACACUGAGGGACGAAAGCGUGGGGAUCAAACAGGAUUAGAUACCCUGGUAGUCCACGCUGUAAACGAUGAGUACUAGCUGUUGGAGUCGGUGUAAAGGCUCUAGUGGCGCAGCUAACGCGAUAAGUACUCCGCCUGGGGACUACGGCCGCAAGGCUAAAACUCAAAGGAAUUGACGGGGACCCGCACAAGCGGUGGAGCAUGUGGUUUAAUUCGAUGCAACGCGAAGAACCUUACCUGGUCUUGACAUCCUGCGAACUUUCUAGAGAUAGAUUGGUGCCUUCGGGAACGCAGUGACAGGUGCUGCACGGCUGUCGUCAGCUCGUGUUGUGAAAUGUUGGGUUAAGUCCCGCAACGAGCGCAACCCCUAUUGAUAGUUACCAUCAUUAGGUUGGGUACUCUAUUGAGACUGCCGCUGACAAGGCGGAGGAAGGUGGGGACGACGUCAAGUCAUCAUGGCCCUUACGACCAGGGCUACACACGUGCUACAAUGGGUAUUACAGAGGGCUGCGAAGGUGCGAGCUGGAGCGAAACUCAAAAAGGUACUCUUAGUCCAAGG
rnacentral:rRNA from 1 species